GCCGGUCGACCCUGCCGAGGAUCAGUCCGAGCACGGAGACGACCCGGCAGCUGGCGCCCACCUGGUCCCGAUACCAGGGUCGCCAGGACACAAAGCCAAAGCACAAAGCCGACCCGCCGGCAGUCGUGCCGUCAAAGCCACAGCCGGCCAAGGCAUGGGGCUCAGUUUCGCCUAGCCGCCGCCGCCUGCUGUCCAGCACGCACAGAUGAUGACGUCAGGCUGGGUGAGUGACCCCAGCCUUCCCUUCAGUUCAUCCUUUUCUUCCACUCCCAGCGUUCAGGCGCUAGACCCCCAGUUAAUUUCGCACAGAUCAGGCAAGGUAGUGUGGUCAUGUGGUACCUUUUCCCAAAGGUCGUUAAUAUAAUCGCUAUUUGGUAUUAAACGUCGUUUUGCCAGCAUCUCCUGAUAUGUUGAAGAUCGCUCACUCAACGUAAGAACUUUGAACUAAUAAUGUCACAAAAUCAAUAGUAAGGGUCUUUCUUGUAUCAAACAAUGUGUUGGUGGGUUAUGUUGUAAACUUUUGCCUGCUGUUCUGUUGAUUUAAUCAUAAGCUCGAUGUGGCCAGGACUAAGCUAGACAAUUUUCCAAUUUUACAUGUGAUUCGCAUGAUUUGCACUCCUCAUGCAUCCACAGUGACGUCACGGCGGCCCUGCGGUCUAAUUGGCUGAUCUGAGACCAGGCUGUCACCUUUCCGUCUAUCUUAAAGGAGCUGGGCGUAACCCCUCCCCCUCCCCUCCCCCUGGUUUGUGCUACGCAUCUGCGUUCGUCAUGUCAAAUCUGUCAAUUGAACUAUCUAUAGUGUGUCAGGAUAAUAAUGGCCCAAUAACUUAUGGCGCGUCCGUAGUUCGUACGUCAUAGACCAACGGCGCAGGGUGCAACUAAGCAUUGCGCACACAUGAGUAGUGUAUCAAUCAGUGGACAGCCGCGGUAGAUUGUGCAUCGCAGAUGACGUCAUUGGAGCCAGGUGAGAUAAUCGAGAUGAACACUUGCCUCAGGCGGAGCUGAGAGCAACCACAUUUACGGCAGUUGCAACAGGAUACAAUGGCGUAUUAUCGUUAUCGACGGUGCGUCACUACGUUGUGACGCAUAGACAUUUAACUUUGAUAUAACGCUUAUUUUUUUCGUUUCGGGGUCUUUGACAUUGCUUUUGAUUAACGCGUUUGUGCGUUGGGUUAGCAUUUGACAACAGUAUUUGACGAACAAGAUAACUGAUUAAUCACGAUACUGGAGGCAGCUGUGUGGGAGAUAGCAGCGCCGUGUUUUUCGCUGGGUGCUGUGCG